rnacentral:rRNA from 1 species
GACGAACGCUGGCGGCGUGCUUAACACAUGCAAGUCGAACGGAAAGGCCCUGCUUUUGUGGGGUGCUCGAGUGGCGAACGGGUGAGUAACACGUGAGUAACCUGCCCUUGACUUUGGGAUAACUUCAGGAAACUGGGGCUAAUACCGGAUAGGAGCUCCUGCUGCAUGGUGGGGGUUGGAAAGGUUCGGCGGUUGGGGAUGGACUCGCGGCUUAUCAGCUUGUUGGUGGGGUAGUGGCUUACCAAGGCUUUGACGGGUAGCCGGCCUGAGAGGGUGACCGGCCACAUUGGGACUGAGAUACGGCCCAGACUCCUACGGGAGGCAGCAGUGGGGAAUAUUGCACAAUGGGCGGAAGCCUGAGGCAGCAACGCCGCGUGCGGGAUGACGGCCUUCGGGUUGUAAACCGCUUUCGCCUGUGACGAAGCGUGAGUGACGGUAAUGGGUAAAGAAGCACCGGCUAACUACGUG